rnacentral:rRNA from 1 species
AGAGUUGAUCUGGCUCAGGAUGAACGCUGGCGGCGUGCCUAACACAUGCAAGUCGAACGGGGUUUAUAAUAUGAAGUUUCGGACGGAAUAUGUAACCUAGUGGCGGACGGGUGAGUAACGCGUGGGCAACCUGCCCCAGUACAGGGGGGAUAACAGCCGGAAACGGCUGCUAAAACCGCAUGAAACUGCGCUGCCGCAUGGCGGUGCAGCCAAAUAUUUAUAGGGUAUGGGAUGGGCCCGCGUCUGAUUAGCUAGUUGGUAAGGUAACGGCCUACCAAGGCGACGAUCAGUAGCCGGCUUGAGAGAGUGACCGGCCACAUUGGGACUGAGACACGGCCCAAACUCCUACGGGAGGCAGCAGUGGGGAAUAUUGCACAAUGGGGGAAACCCUGAUGCAGCGACGCCGCGUGAGUGAAGAAGUAUUUCGGUAUGUAAAGCUCUAUCAGCAGGGAAGAUAAUGACGGUACCUGACUAAGAAGCCCCGGCUAACUACGUGCCAGCCGCGGC